GCCGAAGUGGUGGAAUUGGUAGACACGCUAGACUUAGGAUCUAGUGCCGCAAGGCGUGGAGGUUCAAGCCCUCUCUUCGGUA
rnacentral:tRNA from 1 species